CUUCUGUCUGUACCUACCCCAACCCUGCUCAGCAGCCCCACCCUUACCCCCAGAGAUAACCAACAAGAUCCCCACCGUCAUUCAAGGUUUACUCCAACUACCACUUCCUGUGCAAAGCUUGCCUUGAUCCCCUUGGGGGAAACAACGUCCUUCCUCUGUGGUGACACAGCUCUCUACUGAACUGUGAGUUAGUAACUUUUCAUGCUGCCUUGUGCACUGCAUAAUGGCAGGAACCAUGUUCCUUUUCACCCUGGAAACCUCAUGGUGUCUGACACAUCUGAGAAGUUGGAUACUCCUCAGACAGGCAUAGCAGAGCUGGGGUAGGGCCGAACUGACCCGCACACAGAGAGCAUCACCCUCAAUCCUCAGCCCUGCCCACCUCUGUGUCUGGUGCACCCAACCCCCAGUAUCGUGGUCACUCCUCUGGGUUACUGUUGGAGGGGCUGCUCAGAGGCAAGUACAUCACCUGGGUGGGGGACAACACAUCACCCACUGUCUCCAGGGUCACAAUAGGGAGCAUGACUCAAGGGAAUGAGACAGGGGAGGGAGAGCCCUGACAUAGGAGUAAAAACCAACCAAACUGUCGGAUAUAGAAUCAGAGUGAGGAGCGCAGCUGUAGGCAAGCACCUGUCUCAAGGGCUCAGAGCAUCUGAGGUAGUAUCAGAGCUCAGAGUUUCAGAACUGAGGAGAAAACUAUUGCUACAAAAGGAGAGGCAGAUGUGGAAAAUUUCCUCCUCCUUGGGGCAGGGGUUAUGAGGAGCAGAUCUAAGCCAUAGUGUGACAGCCUUUGAGGUUUCCCUUCCUCCAUCGAGACCAAUGGCCAGACAGAGACAGCAAGUGCACGCCUGAGAAUCCAGAAGCAUUCUGGGAAAUGGUGUAAGCAAAGCAUCGGAGGCAUUUAUCAAGAAAAUCUGAAUAUCAACCGUCAAGCCCCAGGCCGAGGGGAGCUGGGAAUAUUUCAGGGCACAUUAACCACUGUUGUGGAUGCACACACAGAAGUCUCUGGAUCCAGCAUUGAGCAAAAACCCAUCUGUGAUGCCAAUCCUGACAACAGACAGAAAGAGGACAUUAACACUUUCGGGUCUCUCGAGAAGUGUGGAGCAGGAGCAGGGGAGUGCAGGGAGGCAGAUCCGUCCUCUGCACCCCAUGCCCCCCCAACCCAGGCUUCCUCAGAAGUGGAGCGAGCCCAUGUCAAAGAGAGCUGGAGGCACAGGCAUCACACGUCAGAUGCAGGGCCACCAGCAGCUGAGCUCCGAGCUCACUGUAGCCGCCCCAGGAAGCAGCGCGUCCUGCUCGCAGGGGCUAGAGAGACGGCGCAGACUCCCACCGACGGGCACGAGGCCCACCUCACCUCCAGCACGCCCCAACUGUACCGCGCCGGACAGUUGUGACCUCCCCUUGUGACCUACCGAGGAACAAAGAUUAGGUUUGCUCAUCUGUGAGAGGCAGCUGCCCGGGAGACCUCGUUUGCAAUCUGGCUCCCCUCUUUUGGCUCCUGGUGAGAGUUUAAAUGUUCUCCUAUAUACACUCUCUCCCCCAGCACCCCACACCCUUGCCUCAGAAGGGUCAGCCAUGUGACACCAGAUAGCCCCCUGCUCUGGGCUACAUUUACACCUCUUUGCUCCAUUCCAGCCUCACCCUUUGUUCUGGCUGCCAAACCCAAAAUGGAUUCCAUAAGUAUCCUGCUCCCCAAAUGUUGGUCCAAAUGGCAGCCUGCAGGUCUGGGAACCCUAGGGGCCUGACAGGCAGUUGAGCUGAAUGACAGGCCUGGGAUCAAACCACAUUUUUGUCCUCUGACUGCAGCCGAGCAUCUUGGGCUAGUCAGGGACAGCCUCCUCUUGCGAUGUCCUCUCCUCCACAGAAGCCUGACCGCUGUGACCUUGGUAAAUGCUGAGCAGAUGGAAAAGGAGACUUUGGCAAUCACAGAAGCAUCGUGUCCCCUGAUUCUGGCACCCCCGCGGGAGAAAAGAAGCCGAUCAGAGACUUGGUGUGUCGAUGUGCACCGAGUGAGCACCUACCGUGUGUCUAGGACUGAGGCUGGCACAGCCGGAGAGAAAGGGUGGGCAUUUCUAGCACAUGCUUUCUUCCACUGCUGAGGAUAACACACCUCAGCCCCCCUUCACGUCGGGGGAGGCAGAGACAGAGGAAGUGAAGGGGGGGAGACUGCUAGUAUGUUUUCUCCUAAAGUGCUCUUGACACAUUUUCCUGUUGGCAGGUGGUGGCAAAAACCUACAACUGGAAGGUUUAAGUAAAAAUGGAGCACACAGAUGGGUGUCCGGUUUUUAGGUGGCUGCUCCCGUGCUGAAACACGCGGCUCACCCUUCUCCAACAGGCUUAAAAUGGGCUCUAGCAACUGUUCAAGGGCCAAACACUUGGCACUCGCCAGGGUACUUGCCCCUGACCUUUCUCAUCACCCUGGCCCUCUCCUUAAUUGCUAUGGCAGCAGCUGGCUCCUCCCCAGCCAGCACACCCCCUCCCUUGGCUUCCCACCCUCCCCGUCUUUGCAAAAUGGACAUCUUGGCACCUCUAUGUGUCCUGCUUUAAACCCACUAGUGAUUUCCAUUACUCAUGGCACAGGUCCCACUUCCCUGAAUGGCUAAGCACACCUCAUAUGGCUGGGCUCUUCCUUCCCCUCCCGCCUUCCCUCAUCAUUUUCUGUCCUCAAGUUUUUAAGGUCCAGCCACUCGGGCCUCUGUUUAGUCCCUGGACCCUGUUUUUGCCCUUUCCCACCUCUGGAAGCUUACUUAUGCUGCUCCUACCACCUUCCCCACCCCACUCCUCUCUGACCUCCUUCCAGCGGCCCUCUCUGACCUGUCUGUCCUUCAGACCCAGACCCAGCUUAGGGAUCUUCCUGGACAUCUAGAACUCGGGCGGUUCCCUGUUCCGACCCCUCCAAUGGCUCACAUAAAUUCUCACUCUUAACACUCAUCAUACCCUGUUGUAUGCAGGUGUUAAGUACCUUGCUGCUUGGACCAGAAGCUCUGUGAGGGCAGAGAUCACAUCUGUCCUGCUCAUUGCCAGCAACUAAUAAAGUGAUGGCCAAUGGUUUUGCUGUGCCA
ensembl:lncRNA